rnacentral:rRNA from 1 species
AGUAACGCGUGAGGAACCUGCCUCAAAGAGGGGGACGAACAGUGGAAACGACUGCUAAUACCGCAUAAGCCCACAGCUCGGCAUCGAGCAGAGGGAAAAGGAGCAAUCCGCUUUGAGAUGGCCUCGCGUCCGAUUAGCUAGUUGGUGAGGUAAUGGCCCACCAAGGCAACGAUCGGUAGCCGGACUGAGAGGUUGAACGGCCACAUUGGGACUGAGACACGGCCCAG